rnacentral:rRNA from 1 species
GUGCCAGCCGCCGCGGUAAUACGUAGGAUCCGAGCGUUGUCCGGAAUUACUGGGUGUAAAGGGCGUGUAGGUGGGUCUCUAAGUCGGUGGUGAAAUCUUGCAGCUCAACUGUAAAAUUGCCAUCGAUACUGGAGGUCUUGAGUACGGCAGAGGGAAAUAGAAUUCAUGGUGUAGCGGUGAAAUGUGUAGAUAUCAUGAAGAAUACCGGUAGCGAAGGCGGUUUCCUGGUCCGUAACUGACACUGAGGCGCGAAAGCGUGGGGAGCAAACAGGAUUAGAUACCCGCGUAGUCC